rnacentral:rRNA from 1 species
GCUUGCUCCCUGGAAGUCAGCGGCGGACGGGUGAGUAACACGUGGGCAACCUGCCUGUAAGACUGGGAUAACUCCGGGAAACCGGGGCUAAUACCGGAUAACUCUUUUCUUCACAUGAGGAAAAGCUGAAAGAUGGUUUCGGCUAUCACUUACAGAUGGGCCCGCGGCGCAUUAGCUAGUUGGUGAGGUAACGGCUCACCAAGGCCACGAUGCGUAGCCGACCUGAGAGGGUGAUCGGCCACACUGGGACUGAGACACGGCCCAGACUCCUACGGGAGGCAGCAGUAGGGAAUCUUCCGCAAUGGACGAAAGUCUGACGGAACAACGCCGCGUGAGUGAUGAAGGUUUUCGGAUCGUAAAACUCUGUUGUCAGGGAAGAACAAGUACCGGAGUAACUGCCGGUACCUUGACGGUACCUGACCAGAAAGCCACGGCUAACUACGUGCCAGCAGCCGCGGUAAUACGUAUGUGGCAAGCGUUGUCCGGAAUUAUUGGGCGUAAAGCGCGCGCAGGCGGUUCCUUAAUUCUGAUGUGAAAGCCCUCGGCUCAACCGGGGAGGGUCAUUGGGAACUGGGGAACUUGAGUGCAGAAGAGAAGAGUGGAAUUCCACGUGUAGCGGUGAAAUGCGUAGAGAUGUGGAGGAACAC